rnacentral:tRNA from 1 species
GUUACCUCAGCUGGAUAGAGGAACUGACUACGAAUCAGUCUGUCAUAGGUUCGAAUCCUAUAC